CUGACAUGACCUGAGAGAGGGUUAGAGAAGGGUUAAGUGGCACAGAAGAGUAUGAGAGAGAGGGAGAGAUGGGGGAAAGAGGGACUUUCUGUUUUCUUCUCUUUUACAUUCACCCUGGGUUCUCGCAAGGCUACUUGCGACUGUCUUUCUGUCUGCCAUCACUUUUUCUUAGCCGAUUUCUGAUUGUUUCUCUAAAAAGAGAACUAGGCUAGUUUGUCCUUUCACCUUAUCUCAUUACUGAAUUAACGAUACCAUUAUUUCACUUUCACUCAUACACCCACUCUCUGCUGUUUGACGAAUCAAGCACAUUGUUUCUCUCAAUUCCCUCUGCUAGUAUGCACUAGGGUGUUUAUUUUUGUAGUACAUCUUUGAUGCAAUCAAGCCUGUUGUUUAAUGGAAUAGAAUGAGCACCAUCAGGUUAUUGUAAUUCCCCUGCUCAUUAACUGGCAGUGUUGCUGGUAGGUGCACAAAGUCAUUAGUUAUGUUAUAAGAUGUUAUAAAUGAUUAUCUUGAGUUUUGGUUGCCACAAUACUGAAUAACUCAGUAAUCCAUAUCUCAAGGACAUAUUACUACAUUGGUUUUAAAAUAUAUAGUUGCUAUUGACAGACAGGAAAUGCAGAUAAUACCCGCAAGAAGUUCAGGUUAUCUUCUUUUUGACAGGCACAACAGGAUGAAGCAUCCCCAUCAUGAAAUUAUUUCAUGAUCAGAGCUCAUUACAGCAACAGACCCAAUUAAAGCUGACCCAGGGUCAACACUUUAAAUAAAGGAAAUCACUUUACUCUUUGGACAAAUCACAAUUUUAACCACUUGUAUAAACAGAAGACCAUCUAAAAACAGAAGAUUUGAUUGAGGUGAUGAUGUAGAAUGAAAUCUAUCUAGACACCAUUUCUGUUUUUAGAUGAUCAACCGUACGACCAAUGACUGAGUAUGCCACAUUUGACUUUUAAGUGUGAAAGAGUUUGUCUUGAGCUAAAAAUAAAACCCAUCAACUGCUGAUCAUUGCUCAAUAAUUAGCCAAAGGCUCCUUCCAGAUUAUUAUAACAUAGAGAAUAUAAAAAAGAUGAUAUGUACCGUACACAUUUUUGUGUCUCAAUUUCGACCAGGCCAACAAAAAAUGGGUCCGACUCAACUGGCGUGGACCAGAUUUGCCAGAUGUCCAAUCCACACAGACACAGAACACACGUACGCUCCACGCAAACAACAAGGUCUCCAGCAGGCCUUCUCCAUAUCCAGCGACUGCUGACUUCAAAAAUAAUUUAUUAGCUGGCCACAUCUGUAAGCCAUUGGAGCUGUUGUUUUGCGCUGGGUCGUGCAAGCAACCGGGGCUGGUUGCUCUGUCCGGGUCCCCAGCCCCCCCAGUCCCCAGCACAGGACAUCAUUAGGAGAGAGGGGGAAGGGCAGGGCUUGAACCAUCCAACCAUUUCACGCACCAAGGACUUUGUGAUCAACAUGGUUACUAAACCUCUCAAGUUCAUUAACAUUUUAAACGGCUUCUAAAGUCCCCCUUGGCGCCCCAUUGGAAAACAAUUCCUUUCUUUUCUUAAGAAUUCUCACUCCAAUGGGAAACCUUGAAUUGAAGCUCAGGGGUCCCUUUGGUGUCGACAUUAAUAGUCAGAGUCCAUAUGCAUGCAAAUUCAUAUGAGGGCUAUUGGAGGGGAUGGAUGGAGAGGAUAUUUGCAUGUUUUGUUCAUCUCGGGGUGCGUGUCUUUGGGUGGGCUGACGUUAAAUGGAGAUGAUCCAUGCAACCAAGGCAUUUGGAAAUUCUCUGUACAACGAAAGAGUCCAGCUCAAAGAAGAUGAUCCCAGUGGGAUCUGCUGACCCUAUUUUGUUUGUGUUUGCGUGUGUGUUUGCAUGUCCUUGUUUAACCUAAAACGUCUAAGUGUGUGUGUGUAUGUGUGUGUGUGUGUGUUUGCAUGUGUGUGUCUGCGUGUCUAUGCCUGAAUAAGUUUGUGUGUGUAUCUGUGUGUCCUUGUUCUGCUUGAAAAGUGUUUGUGUGUGUCCUAUAUUACCUACAGCAGUGUAGAGUUGUGUGGUGUGUGUCAAAGCCUUUGAAUGUAUACACUAUCUGGCCCCAAUUGGAAAAGGGUGUGUGUGGUGUGUGUUGUGGUCCCAUUCUAAACCACAUAGCCAGGCAAUCAGGGUUGAUGGAUAGGCCUACCCUGGAGAGAGGCCUCCUCUGCCUUGUGUCUCUGGGGAUUAUACUGCUCAGCCAUCUCUCCUUACUCAUCACAUACACACACACACACACACACAAACCCAUGCGCUGAUUAAUGGUGGGAUGUGUGUGUUUGUUUAUACAGUCUUCCCGGGAUUAGGGAAGGCUAUGUCGGGAAAGUCGGGAAUAACAGGUGAGGUUCUUGUGAUGAGGCCUGUUUCCAUGACGACUGCCGGUGAAAAGAGUUAAGUCACCCACGCAGACUGACACACACACACAGAUUUGCAACAACACAAGCAUGUGCACACACAGAAAAUGGAUGCGCUUGCAGACACCCAACGUGGAAGAGGUAGAUGUCAGAUCCUCUCAUUUCCUAUGUUGUCUCUUUUUCCACCUAACUUGAAAACCAGGGUAACAGCCUGACAGCAGACUCUGCUAACAAGGAAACCACUAUCAAAACAAGAUACUCCAUGAACCGAAGGGACAUUGAGCACAUCUUCCCUUUCUUCAUGUCACCAGCCCAAAUAAAGUUCCCACGGACAGUCAUUUUCCAACCAUGUGUCAGGUCUGCAGUAAACAUGGCGCUCAGUGGGACUCAUCCAUGCCCAGAACAAAUCCCGACAACUUGACUGAAGAAUCUGACCUCCUUUUCUUCUUCAAAUAUCUGAAAGGCCGGUGGUGGAUGGUCCCCUUCAGGGGUGUGAGGUGCGGGAGGUUCCCCCUCCCCCUCUGGACAUCGAGGGGGCCCCGGCGUACUCGGUCCGCUCCAUCAUCGACUCGAGGUGCCGGGCGGGGGGCCUCCAGUACCUCGUGGAGUGGGAGGGGUACGGCCCGGAGGAGCGGAGCUGGGUUCCGGUGAAGGACGUCCUGGCUCCCGUCCUUGUCCGCGAAUUCCACCAGCGUCGGCCGGAUCGCCCUGCUCCGCGCCCCCCCGGGUCGGCCCCGAGGCCGGUGCCGUCGCGCGGCUAGGGCCGCGUGUCAGGGGGGGGGUACUGUGACGACUACGACCUCUGCUGGUUCACCUCCCCCUGCAGCGGGCGGGCCCCGGCGGUCGACGUCACCGGCUUUCUGACACCACCGUCUCAUCAUGCAUUUCACCUGUGUCUCGUUUAGUGCACCUGUUCAUCAUCGCUGUUUCCCCCGGUAUAUAUGUUCCCUCUGCUCCCCCUGUCUUUG
ensembl:lncRNA